UCAUUUGAUUCCAAGGUUGGUGAUCGUCAAAUAUGUGGGUGUUCACAUUCAACCCCUUAAAUAAUGAUUCUAUAUUUAUAGUGAAAUACAAAAUAUUGAAUACAUAUAUAUGAAUGUAAUGUGUAUUGUCAAUGUAAUUUAUCUUGCUGUUAAUGUCAUACUUUUUACAUUAUUUUCACACCUACAGUAUUCAGUCUAAUCCACAUCCAUGCAUUAUAUAAACAUGCAUUAUUCCGUUUAUCUACAAUGAACUAUAAUAGACACUCACAAUACGAGUAAAACAAACUAUAAACACCUAUAUAAAGUUAACAUGCUGUUCAUAUUCUGUUAUUCUCUAUUCUAUUCUACGGAAUGUGCACCCCCAAAAAACCAUAUUGACAUGAAAUUGGGAGAAUGAGGUCAUGUAUUUGUCUAGAGAAAACAGACCAUUAUUUUAGUCCUUUGGACAGAGAGAGCAGGGCCUUCUGCUGUCAGUCUGUGGUCAUUCCCUUGCCCAAUAUAAACACAGAAAUGGGAGACCAGAUUGAGUAGUUUUACGACACGCUGCAUGCACCCUGACGCCCCGACUGACUGACUGACCAGUGUGAGUGACCACAGUUUAUCUCCCUGGCUGUGAGAGCGGAGGAGGGGAGUCCUCCUCACUGACCGCCCCGGCCAGAAUGACCAUAUCAGGAGCUGAGGAAAGCUGAGCUGGCCGAAAAUAAAAGACAAAGCAGCGGAAACUUGGUGACAACAGUCUUGUUCUGCACAGACAGACAGGAAAGUAGACCAGAGUACUCUUCAGAUGGAACCUAGAUCUGAAGUAGCUACUGAGGAAAGCCAAGCCAAUCAAAGUGUGUCCCAGGAGGUGUACUGUUCAUACAAAUACUGGGAUGUUUUGUUUCCACAGUCUAACAUGUAAUCACACUCAUCAGCAGCACUCUGACAUGGAUACUGUAAUUCUGGUGGAGAGAGGAAAGUCUGCCUUUCCAUGACUUAGAGAAUGUGUUUAUCAUAUUUUUCUUGCUAAAAAAAUUGAA